AAUACUCCUGACUGAUCGAUAGUGAAACAGUACCGUGAGGGAAAGGCGAAAAGACCCCCGGCGUGGGGAGUGAAAAAGAACCUGAAAACGUGUACGUACAAGCAGUGGGAGCACCUUCGGGUGUGACUGCGUACCUUUUGUAUAAUGGGUCAGCGACUUAUAUUCUGUAGCAAGGUUAACCGUAUAGGGGAUCCGCAGGGAAACCGAGUCUUAAAUGGGCGUUAAGUUGCAGGGUAUAGACCCGAAACCCGGUGAUCUAGCCAUGGGCAGGUU
rnacentral:rRNA from 1 species